UACGUAGGGUGCAAGCGUUGUCCGGAAUUAUUGGGCGUAAAGAGCUCGUAGGCGGUUCGUCGCGUCGGCUGUGAAAACCCGGAGCUCAACUCCGGGCCUGCAGUCGAUACGGGCGGACUUGAGUGUUGCAGGGGAGACUGGAAUUCCUGGUGUAGCGGUGAAAUGCGCAGAUAUCAGGAGGAACACCGGUGGCGAAGGCGGGUCUCUGGGCCGAUACUGACGCUGAGGAGCGAAAGCGUGGGGAGCGAACAGG
rnacentral:rRNA from 1 species